rnacentral:rRNA from 1 species
GAUAAACGCUAGCGGCAGGCUUAACACAUGCAAGUCGAGGGGCAGCAUAGAUUGUAGCAAUACAAUUGGUGGCGACCGGCGCACGGCUGCGUAACGCGUAUGCAACCUACCCGUCACAGGGGGAUAAUCCGGAGAAAUCUGGUCUAAUACCCCAUAACAUAUGGAUCGGCAUCGGUUCAUGUUGAAAUUUUCGGAGGUGACGGAUGGGCAUGCGUAGCAUUAGCUUGUUGGUGAGGUAACGGCUCACCAAGGCGACGAUGCUUAGGGGGACUGAGAGGUUUUCCCCCACACUGGUACUGAGACACGGACCAGACUCCUACGGGAGGCAGCAGUGAGGAAUAUUGGUCAAUGGGCGCAAGCCUGAACCAGCCAUGCCGCGUGCAGGAUGACGGCUCUAUGAGUUGUAAACUGCUUUUGUAUGAGGGUAAAGUGGGUUACGUGUAACCUUUUGAAAGUAUCGUACGAAUAAGGAUCGGCUAACUCCGUGCCAGCCGCCGCCGUAA